rnacentral:rRNA from 1 species
UACGGAGGGUGCAAACGUUGCUCGGAAUUAUUGGGCGUAAAGCGCACGUAGGUGGCUCGUUAAGUCGGAUGUGAAAGCCCUCGGCUCAACUGAGGAAGUGCAUUCGAAACUGGCGAGCUUGAGUACUGAAGAGGGUCGCGGAAUUCCCGGUGUAGAGGUGAAAUUCGUAGAUAUCGGGAGGAACACCAGUGGCGAAGGCGGCGACCUGGGCAGAUACUGACACUGAGGUGCGAAAGCGUGGGGAGCAAACAGG